rnacentral:rRNA from 1 species
GACGAACCGUGCGAACGUUAUUCGGAAUCACUGGGCUUAAAGGGCGCGUAGGCGGGCGGACAAGUCGGGGUGAAAUCGUUACGGCCCAACCGGACAAGGGCCCCCGAGUACUGGCCGUCUCGAGGGAGGUAGGGGUCGAUGGAACGUUCCGGUGGAGCGGUGAAAUGCGUAGAUAUCGGGAGGAUCACCUGUGGCGAAAGCGGCGCACUGGACCAUAACUGACGCUGGAGGCGCGAAAGCUAGGGGAGCGAACAGG